UACGUAGGGUGCGAGCGUUAAUCGGAAUUAUUGGGCGUAAAGCGCACGUAGGCGGUAUUGCAAGUCGGAUGUGAAAUCCCUCGGCUUAACCAAGGAAGUGCAUCCGAAACUGCUGUACUUGAGUACGAAAGAGGAUCGCGGAAUUCCCGGUGUAGAGGUGAAAUUCGUAGAUAUCGGGAGGAACACCAGUAGCGAAGGCGGCGAUCUGGGUCGAUACUGACGCUGAGGUGCGAAAGCGUGGGGAGCAAACAGG
rnacentral:rRNA from 1 species